rnacentral:tRNA from 1 species
GCCGUUGUAGCUCAGUCGGUAGAGCACAUCCAUGGUAAGGAUGAGGUCACCGGUUCGAUCCCGGUCAACGGCUCCA